GACGAACGCUGGCGGCGUGCUUAACACAUGCAAGUCGAGGGCACUUGCUCAGCAAUGGUCAAGUGACCGGCGAACGGGUGCGUAACACGUGAGCGACCUUGCCUCGUGGUGGGGGAUAGCCGGCCCAACGGCCGGGUAAUACCGCAUAGGGUGGUCUUUUCGCAUGGAGAGACUAGCAAAGCCCUGGAGCAAUCCAGUGGCGCCACAGGGGGGCGUCGCGGCCUAUCAGC
rnacentral:rRNA from 1 species